AAUCAACGCUGGCGGCGUGCCUAACACAUGCAAGUCGAACGCGAAAGCCCGCAAGGGUAAGUAGAGUGGCGCACGGGUGAGUAACACGUGGACAACCUGCCUUCGAGUGGGGAAUAACCUUCCGAAAGGAGGGCUAAUACCGCAUAACACCUCGGGACACAAGUUCUGGGGUUGAAAAGAGCAAUUUGCUCGAAGAGGGGUCCGCGCCUGAUUAGCUAGUUGGUGAGGUAACGGCUCACCAAGGCUUCGAUCAGUAGCCGUCCUGAGAGGGAGCACGGCCACACUGGAACUGAGACACGGUCCAGACUCCUACGGGAGGCAGCAGUGGGGAAUUUUUGGCAAUGGGCGAAAGCCUGACCAAGCAACGCCGCGUGGGUGAUGAAGUAUCUUGGUACGUAAAACCC
rnacentral:rRNA from 1 species